rnacentral:rRNA from 1 species
AUUGAACGCUGGCGGCAUGCUUUACACAUGCAAGUCGAACGGUAACAGGCCGCAAGGUGCUGACGAGUGGCGAACGGGUGAGUAAUGCAUCGGAACGUGCCCAGUCGUGGGGGAUAACGCAGCGAAAGCUGCGCUAAUACCGCAUACGAUCUAUGGAUGAAAGCGGGGGACCGUAAGGCCUCGCGCGAUUGGAGCGGCCGAUGUCAGAUUAGGUAGUUGGUGGGGUAAAGGCUCACCAAACCGACGAUCUGUAGCUGGUCUGAGAGGACGGCCAGCGACACUGGGACGGAGACACGGCCCAGACUCCUACGGGAGGCAGCAGUGGGGAAUUGUGGACAAUGGGCGCAAGCCUGAUCCAGCAAUGCCGCGUGCAGGAAGAAGGCCUUCGGGUUGUAAACUGCUUUUGUACGGAACGAAAAGGCUCUGGUUAAUACCUGGGGCUCAUGACGGUACCGUAAGAAUAAGCACCGGCUAACUACGUGCCAGCCGCCGCGGUAACAC